rnacentral:tRNA from 1 species
GUUUUUGUAGUUGAAUUACAACGGUGGUUUUUCAAGCCAUUAGUUUCGGUUAAAGUCCGGGCGGGAAUU